UAUAGAAUAUGUUUGGUUGAGAUCCCUAAUUCAACAAAUACAACAAAGUUAUGGUUUGUCUUCCGUAAAAAUAAAUACAACAACUAUAAAUGAAGAUAAUAGUACAUGCAUCGCUCAAUUGAAUAAUGAUCAUAUUUAAGACCUUUUCACAAAGUCACUCAAAAAUUGAACUUUUAACUAACUAGUACAAAAGAUUGAUCUUCGUUAUUGAAGAAGUGAUCGUUCAGCUAUAAGGGAGAAAUGGAUUUAUCUUAAAAUAAUAUUUUACUCUUUUUCAUUCACUAG
rnacentral:lncRNA from 1 species